rnacentral:misc_RNA from 1 species
AAGUCGUAACAAGGUAACCGUAGGUGAACCUGCGGUUGGAUCAUUAACAAAAUGAUAAGAGUCUAGCUCUCAAGGCUAGGCUUUUAUAAACACCUGUGAACUGUAAUUGUAUCUUGUGGGAAAGCGUGAAUAAAUUUUAUUUAUUUAUUUAUUUAUUAUUUAUUAUAUUCUUUCCCAUAAACAUAUUGAACUCUUAUAUACUCUUGAAUUAGUUUUAAAUUUUAAUUAAUUAUAAACAACUUUUGACAACGGAUCUCUAGGCUCUC